GGUUGGUGGAGUGAUUUGUCUGCUUAAUUGCGUUAACGAACGAGAUCUCUGCUGAUAAAUAGAUGCUACCUCCGCUUGUAAGCAAGCUUUUGCCCGGGCACUUGUGCUUUGUGCUUAAAUUUGCUGAGGAGGGAGAAGUUUACUUAUUGGGAUUAUGCAUUCUUCAAAUGCAUUGAGACAAGAGCCAAUAGCAGGUCU
rnacentral:rRNA from 1 species